rnacentral:rRNA from 1 species
CUUCCACAAUGGACGCAAGUCUGAUGGAGCAACGCCGCGUGAGUGAAGAAGGCUUUCGGGUCGUAAAACUCUGUUGUUGGAGAAGAAUGGUCGGCAGAGUAACUGUUGUCGGCGUGACGGUAUCCAACCAGAAAGCCACGGCUAACUACGUGCCAGCAGCCGCGGUAAUACGUAGGUGGCAAGCGUUAUCCGGAUUUAUUGGGCGUAAAGCGAGCGCAGGCGGUUUUUUAAGUCUGAUGUGAAAGCCCUCGGCUUAACCGAGGAAGCGCAUCGGAAACUGGGAAA